rnacentral:sRNA from 1 species
GGUCAUCGAGAUCGUCCUCCUCCUCCCAAUCGAUCUCGAGCCGAUGGCAGCCCCCCUCCUCCCAGGCUGACGUCAACAUUCGAAGCCCGUCGCACCUCCUCCCGCGGCGGGCUUUCGUU